UUUCCCCAUCCUUCCCAAAAUCCUCCUCCCUCCCAAAAUUCCCAUUCCCUCGUAACUUAGAAAAAAAAAGAAGAAGAUAACCCUAGCCCGUUUCGUUCUUCUUCUUCUUCUUCUUCUUCUUCUUCUUCUUCUUCUUCUUCCGAGCUCACUUUCCUUCCUCCCAGCCCCCACCAUCACCAAAGGCAGAAACCCCCACUCUAUUCACUGCGUAUCCCAACUCAGUCUCUCUUCACUGUGUGCGCCGUGUCUGCUUCUUCGCUCCUGGUCGUGGGUUGUCGUUGCUCCGCUCCUUGCCGUGGGUCGUCGCUGCUUCUUUGCCUCAUCGCCAGGCUUGUUGUUGCUUCCCUUCUUUCGCGUCGUUGCUGUUGCUUCCCUGCUUCACUGCUCGGUGGUCUUUGCUCCUCUGAUUUUAAGAUUUUGAGUUUGUGUUCUGAGUUUGGAAUUGAGAAAAAGAAUCCGGGAAGAGUGCGAAUGUGUGAAUGGAUCUUAAGUCAUAACCUCAUAUGAACUCGCCAUUUUUUAAUAAGAAAAAAUGAAGACCACGAACGGCGGCAUGGUCAUGAACCCUACCGAUGCUUAUCGAAAGGAGCUUCACAAGAAGGAAUUGAAAAGGAAUAAGAAGGAAAGGAAGAAGGUGAGGGAAGUGAAAAUUCUUAAGAAAGAUCCUGAGCUGAAGAAACAGAUUGAGAACUUGAAAAUGAUGAGAAUAUGAAGAUAAAAUGAAGGAGAAGGGUGAGAUCCUGUUAUGUUCAGGUGAGGGAUUUCUCCAUUACUUAAAAGCAACCUUUUAACCCACUUUUUUUGUUGUUAGUUUAUACAUUCUAGAAUGCCUUUUCGGCAUAAGAUGAACAUUACAAGAGAAAGCAUAAUGCUGGGGGCUAAUUCUUCAUAUAGAUUUCGUCGCAUCCUUCUGUUUUCUUUUUUUUCCUUCUUUCUUUUUAAAUUUGUUAACACUUUGUUGGGGGUCAAAACGCAUUAAUGUCACUUUGUGCUUUGAAUUCCUGGAACCUUGAAUGUAAUAAAAUCAAAGAGGACAUGGAAAGUAAAGACUUUCACCAAAGGCUUGGAAUUCUUCAAGAUAGUAACUGACCUUGCUGAAAGUGAAGGUGAAAAAUAUUACAAGAUGAGCGAACAAAUUAGAGAAGAAUUUUUUUUUUGUUUUCAAAGGAUGAGAAGAAUAUGUACUAUAUUAGAGAAUAUUUUUGUUUUCACAGUAUAAUAUUUUGAUGUCUUUUGUAAUUUUUUUAAUAGCUUCUACCUGGUAUUACAUGUAAUGAAUAAAUUAUACCAUAUUUUGAUUUGUCUUGUUUGGACUAAAAACAUAUAUAGUUUAUAAUGUAAAUUUUACAAUUUAGAUUUA